GGGCGAACCCCACCGCCGGCACCGACCCCCCUCGUCUCCCCUCACCUCACCACCGGCAAAGCUGGCUGGCGAGCUAGGAAGGCGGCGGCGGGGCUUUCUCCGCGGUGGUGCCCCCCUCUCAAGCGUAGGGGAGGUGGAGAUUUUCGCCGGCGGCCAAGAGUGGCGACGGCGAGGGAUCCCGGCCAGGCGGCGGCAGAUCUGGCACCGCCGUCACCGGAUCUGGGCAGUGCGCCUGCGGCGGCGGUGUCGUGGGGUGGCGCGAAGCGGAGGAGGCGCGGCUGGAGGCGACCGCUGCGGCGUCUGGUGGCUUGUGAGGCGGCGGGGCCGUCGCAAAGGCGGCUUGCGCAGCCGUGCAAGGCGGCAGACACGCGCGGUGGUGCGGGCGCCGGUGCGUGGGCGGCGGAUUGCCGAUUCGGCGAGUCUGGCCUCCGGCCACCUCUCCCUGUCGCCGGCAUCUGCGGAGGCCGCCCCUACAACCACCCUUUUCUUCUUCCUUGGUGCCCUCCUCCUUUCUCUGUUCCUCUCUGUGUUGUCUCUCUUCCUUCGGCCACCCUUCGCCGGUAG
rnacentral:lncRNA from 1 species